GAUGAACGCUGGCGGCGUGCCUAAUACAUGCAAGUCGAGCGAACAGAUGAGGAGCUUGCUCCUCUGACGUUAGCGGCGGACGGGUGAGUAAAACGUGGAUAACCUACCUAUAAGACUGGUAUAACUUCGGGAAACCGGAGCUAAUACCGGAUAAUAUAUUGAACCGCAUGGUUCAAUAGUGAAAGACGGUUUUGCUGUCACUUAUAGAUGGAUCCGCGCCGCAUUAGCUAGUUGGUAAGGUAACGGCUUACCAAGGCAACGAUGCGUAGCCGACCUGAGAGGGUGAUCGGCCACACUGGAACUGAGACACGGUCCAGACUCCUACGGGAGGCAGCAGUAGGGAAUCUUCCGCAAUGGGCGAAAGCCUGACGGAGCAACGCCGCGUGAGUGAUGAAGGUCUUCGGAUCGUAAAACUCUGUUAUUAGGGAAGAACAAAUGUGUAAGUAACUAUGCACGUCUUGACGGUACCUAAUCAGAAAGCCACGGCUAACUACGUG
rnacentral:rRNA from 1 species